rnacentral:rRNA from 1 species
CCUACGGGAGGCAGCAGUGAGGAAUAUUGGUCAAUGGACGCAAGUCUGAACCAGCCAUGCCGCGUGCAGGAAGACGGCUCUAUGAGUUGUAAACUGCUUUUGUACGAGGGUAAAUCCCGAUACGUGUAUCGUGUUGAAAGUAUCGUACGAAUAAGGAUCGGCUAACUCCGUGCCAGCAGCCGCGGUAAUACGGAGGAUUCAAGCGUUAUCCGGAUUUAUUGGGUUUAAAGGGUGCGUAGGCGGUUCGAUAAGUUAGUGGUGAAAUCCCGGGGCUCAACUCCGGCACUGCCUCUGAUACUGUCGGGCUAGAGUUUAGUUGCGGUAGGCGGAAUGUAUGGUGUAGCGGUGAAAUGCAUAGAGAUCAUACAGAACACCGAUUGCGAAGGCAGCUUACCAAACUGCGACUGACGUUGAGGCACGAAAGCGUGGGGAGCAAACAGGAUUAGAUACCCUAGUAGUC